rnacentral:rRNA from 1 species
ACCCGCACAAGCGGUGGAUGAUGUGGUUUAAUUCGAUGCACGCGAAGAACCUUACCACCUUUGACAUGUACGGAACCCUUUAGAGAUAGAGGGGUGCUCGAAAGAGAGCCGUAACACAGGUGCUGCAUGGCUGUCGUCAGCUCGUGUCGUGAGAUGUUGGGUUAAGUCCCGCAACGAGCGCAACCCUUGUCAUUAGUUGCUACAUUCAGUUGGGCACUCUAAUGAGACUGCCGGUGACAGACCGGAGGAAGGUGGGGAUGACGUCAAGUCCUCAUGGCCCUUAUAGGUGGGGCUACACACGUCAUACAAUGGCUGGUACAAAGGGUUGCCAACCCGCGAGGGGGAGCCAAUCCCAUAAAGCCAGUCGUAGUCCGGAUCGUAGUCUGCAACUCGACUACGUGAAGUCGGAAUCGCUAGUAAUCGUGGAUCAGAAUGUCACGGUGAAUACGUUCCCGGGGUCUU